CCCGAAAGAUGGUGAACUAUGCCUGAGCGGGGCGAAGCCAGAGGAAACUCUGGUGGAGGCUCGAAGCGAUACUGACGUGCAAAUCGUUCGUCUGACUUGGGUAUAGGGGCGAAAGACUAAUCGAACCAUCGUGUAGCUGGUUCCCUCCGAAGUUUCCCUCAGGAUAGCUGGAGCCCAUUACGAGUUCUAUCAGGUAAAGCCAAUGAUUAGAGGCAUUGGGGACGCAACGUCCUCGACCUAUUCUCAAACUUUAAAUAGGUAGGAUGGCUCGGCUG
rnacentral:ncRNA from 1 species